rnacentral:lncRNA from 12 species
CUGUGUCCUUCCCUACCAAAUGCAAAAUCAGACUUCUGAGGACUCGGUUUGUUUGGAGAGAGUCAGAGGGGAGAACUGUCCUCUCUAUUUCAUUCCCAAGCCACAUGGGGAACAUAAGGAAGAAGUAUUUCCAGGCAGGGGUGAAGGGGACCAAUCUCCCCUGCAGCAAGUGGCUACCAUUCAUCUGUGUUUACAAACCAAAACUGAUGCACCCUCAGCCUGUCACUGAACCACUGAUGAAACCUGACUGGCUGCUGCAGGUCUUGGAACAGAGUCCAGCUGCAAUUCAUUAGUGCAGAAAAAUUCUUUGCGUGGAAAAAUCAGGAGCUUAUACUAAAAAAAGCAGAGCUGUUACAGCGUGAAGCUUUUCUGUUCCGUCUGCAUUAUUG